rnacentral:rRNA from 1 species
GUGAGGAAUAUUGGUCAAUGGGCGGGAGCCUGAACCAGCCAAGUCGCGUGAAGGAAGAAGGAUCUAUGGUUCGUAAACUUCUUUUGCAGGGGAAUAAAGUGCAGGACGUGUCCUGUUUUGUAUGUACCCUGAGAAUAAGGAUCGGCUAACUCCGUGCCAGCAGCCGCGGUAAUACGGAGGAUCCGAGCGUUAUCCGGAUUUAUUGGGUUUAACGGGUGCGUAGGUGGUUUGAUAAGUCAGCGGUGAAAGUUUGCAGCUUAACUGUAAAAAUGCCGUUGAAACUGUCGGACUUGCGUGUAAAUGAGGUAGGCGGAAUGCGUGGUGUAGCGGUGAAAUGCAUAGAUAUCACGCAGAACUCCGAUUGCGAAGGCAGCUUACUAAGCUACAACUGACACUGAAGCACGAAAGCGUGGGGAUCAAACAGGAUUAGAAACCCCUGUAGUCC